AGAACGAACGCUGGCGGCAUGCCUAACACAUGCAAGUCGAACGAGACCUUCGGGUCUAGUGGCGCACGGGUGCGUAACGCGUGGGAAUCUGCCCUUAGGUACGGAAUAACAGUGAGAAAUUACUGCUAAUACCGUAUGAUGUCUUCGGACCAAAGAUUUAUCGCCUAGGGAUGAGCCCGCGUUGGAUUAGCUAGUUGGUGGGGUAAAGGCCUACCAAGGCGACGAUCCAUAGCUGGUCUGAGAGGAUGAUCAGCCACACUGGGACUGAGACACGGCCCAGACUCCUACGGGAGGCAGCAGUGGGGAAUAUUGGACAAUGGGCGAAAGCCUGAUCCAGCAAUGCCGCGUGAGUGAAGAAGGCCUUAGGGUUGUAAGCUCUUUUACCCGGGAAGAUAAUGACUGUACCGGAGAAUAAGCCCGGCUAACUCCGUGCCAGCAGUCCGC
rnacentral:rRNA from 1 species